GAGCAGGUCUAGAGAGGCCGCGGAUCCUCGGCCCGGCGCGCACCGAGCUACGGGAACAUCGGGGCGCGCGGGCCGGGCUGCGGCAGCCGUGCGGGAGGAAACGGCUUGAGUCCCUGGUGUCGCGGUUCGGUCCCGCCUCGCCGGGCUGAGCACAGGGUCUCAUGUAGCCAAGAUUGGCCUUGAACUCCUGAGCCUUCUGCUUCUGCCGCCCAAGUACUGAGACUGUAAAUGCUCAAUUACUGCUACCCUGGGCCUUUCCAACAGGAGCCAUUUUCCCUAACACUACCGUGCCACAGAGAUGUUACUCAAAGUAGCAGUGUUGUGUGCUAGCUGAGGUGGCUUGUCCUCGGGGGACAGAUGAUUGAGCAAUAGAUAUCACAGGGCCUGUUACAGAAAGUCACCCAUUAUCUCAAGGACCUCACGUCAGCAGGGGACAGUCGGCUUCAGGUCCCCAGGAGCCAGCUUGGAAGUAAUCAUCGACAGAAUGGUGUUGGUGCUUGGAGGAUGCUAGACCACUCUUGACUGUCCUGCCGGCCCUGGGUGUGUGGGCUCUGUGUCCCCACAUCUGCUAGAGAGUGCUGGCAUCUCACCACCAGCAGCCAGGAGGAACUAUCAGGCUAUAAACCCAAUAGAGGUGAUGGAAGACUUUCCCUCCAUCUCUGCCUGGGACCACUGGCAUCUGGCAGGCGAAAGUGUUCAGGAUACUUACUAAGGACACAACAAGGACAUGGCAGAACCAGGAUUCCUAUCUGAAGUUCUGACUCCAAGGAGAACACUUGAGCUGGGAACUUUGGUCCCUUGGAGGAGGGUAGUUGCAUUGCCUGACACUGAGGUGACAUUUGGGUCUCCACCUGAUGGCUGGUGUCUUCUGCCAUUGAUCCUGCAAGAUGAUCUUUCUGGACAGUUCUUCUCUGGCCUCUGGCCCUGGCUGAACCCGGGGCCGGUAGCUCUGGAUUGAGCUGUAGUCCUUGCCUCUGCCCUGGAUUCCCUGAGGUUUGGGUCACCAAAGCCCAGCACAUAAAAAGGUAUCCUUCCCCUGGGAGUUUCAAGUUCCCGCAGCUGCAGGCCUGCCUUAGGCCGUGACUUCUGUACAUCUCUCCCUUGGCCUGUCAGAUGUCUUGGGGUCAGACACCCAGUAGCUUUCUGGUUUACCUGACUACUGGAGAAGCAAUAUUCCCCUGUCACUUUUUUUUUUUUGGUCCUGGAGUUUGGACUCAGGGCUUUAAACAUACUAGGCAAGUGCUCUCUACCACUGAUGUAUAUGCCCAGGCCUUUUAUGAUUGAGACAAAAUCUUGCUUAUGUGGUCCAGCUUGGGCUUAAACUGUAAUCCUUUAGCCUCCAUCUCCAGCAUUAUAGCAUUAUAGCUGUGUACCACCCUGCCCACAUGGCUUUCCUGUUUUGACUCCUGUGUCAGGAAAACAACCCUGGGUGAAAGUAGGGUCCAUUCCUGUUG